CUUGUGCUCAUCGGGCGGCAAGACCGGCUGAAGCGUCGGGAGGUAGAGCGGAGGCUGCGAGGGAUCAUUGAUCAAAUCCAAGAUGCCCUCAGGGAUGGCAGGGAGAUCCAGUGGCCCAAUGCCAUGUAUCCAGACCUCCACAUGCCUUUUGCACCAUCCUGGUCCUUGCACUGGGCCUACAGAGACGGACACCUGGUCAACCUGCCAGUCAGCCUGCUGGUUGAAGGAGACAUCAUAGCUUUGAGGCCUGGCCAGGAAUCGUUUGCUUCUCUGAGGGGGAUCAAGGAUGACGAGCACAUCGUCCUGGAGCCGGGAGACCUCUUCCCCCCCUUCUCCCCUCCACCCUCACCCCGGGGAGAAGUGGAGAGAGGGCCACAGAGCCCCCAGCAGCACCGGCUUUUCCGUGUCCUUGAGACCCCUGUGAUUGACAACGUCAGAUGGUGCCUGGACAUGGCCCUGUCCCGACCAGUCACUGCCCUGGACAAUGAGCGGUUCACAGUGCAGUCGGUGAUGCUACACUAUGCUGUGCCCGUGGUCCUGCUGGGCGCGGGGACUCA
rnacentral:sRNA from 1 species